AUUGAACGCUGGCGGCAGGCCUAACACAUGCAAGUCGAACGAGUGGCGGACGGGUGAGUAAUGUCUGGGAAACUGCCUGAUGGAGGGGGAUAACUACUGGAAACGGUAGCUAAUACCGCAUACCAUCGGAUGUGCCCAGAUGGGAUUAGCUAGUAGGUGGGGUAAAGUCUCACCUAGGCGACGAUGCCUAGCUGUUCUGAGAGGAUGACCAGCCACUGUGGAACUGGGACACGGUCCACACUCCUACGGGAGUCAGCAGUGGGGAAUAUUGCACAAGGGGCGGAAGCCUGAUGCAGCCAAGCCGGGUGUAUGAAGAAGGCCUUCGGCUGGUAAAGUACUUUCAGCGUGGAGGCGUUACCUGCAGAAGAAGCACCGGCUAACUCCGUGCCAGCAGCCGCGGUAAUUC
rnacentral:rRNA from 1 species